rnacentral:sRNA from 1 species
CUCGUGCUGCCGCCUCCUUCCUCUAGGC